UAUGGUCAAUUAAUCUUUGACAAAGGAGUCAAGAAUAUGCAAUGGAGAAAGAACAGUUUCUUCAAUAAGUGAUGGUGGGAAAAAUGGACAGCCACAUGCAAAAGAAUGUAACUGUAUCCCUAUCUUACACCAUACACAAAAAUA